rnacentral:rRNA from 1 species
AUUGAACGCUGGCGGCCGGCCUAACACAUGCAAGUCGAGCGGCGCGGCGGACGGGUGAGUAAUGCCUCGUAAUCUGCCUGUUCGUCGUGGAUAACUUCCGGACACGGGCGCUCAUACCGCAUCCUAUCCGAUGCGCCUAGGGCGGAUUAGCUAGUUGGUGGGGUAAAGGCCUACCAAGGCGACGAUCCGUAACUGGUCUGAGAGGAUGAUCAGUCACACUGGAACUGAGACAAGGUCCAGACGCCUACGGGAGGCAGCAGGGGGGAAUAGUGGACAAUGGGCGAAAGCCGGAGCAAGCCAUGCAGCGUGUGUGAAGAAGGUCGUCGGAUUGUAAAGCACUUGAAGUUGGGAGGCGUUACCAACAGAAGAAGCACCGGCUAACUUCGUGCCAGCAGCCGCGGUAAUUC